CCAGCAGGUGUGGAUGGGGACUAUGCUGACUCUGGGUGGGCUUGAUGCUGCUCAAGAUGAGAUCUAGGCCAUGAGGCUCGUCCUCCUCCCAGAGUACUUUCCACAGGGGCCACACGUGAGCCUGGCACCUUGUCCUGCAGAGCCCUGCUUCCCUCCCCAAGUCACACCCCUGGGCACAGCCCCCUAGGACUAGCGGCCUUCACCCUCAGGCCGGCUGACCACCCCCUACAUCCCAGGGCAGCUGAGUCCCUGCUGGGGUGGAGCAUGCCUGACCCUGCCUCUAUCAGCUGAUGCAGAGUUAGACCUCAGCCAGAUGAAGACACCCAGCAGAGCGGAGUAGGGGGUCGGAUCGGGAGGGAGCUUCAGUAGGGCUACCAGGCCCAGCUUGACCUGCAUCCCAUGGCAGAGCAGCGAACAGUGACACAGACUUUAGAGCUCCUCCACCUUCUCUUGGAAAUUCAGAGGAGUCCAGACCAGCCGCCUUUCUCCUGCAGCCGUCAGCUGGGGCCCUCUCCCUGCACAGGAGGGCCAUUCCCUGGUGUAGGGUCCCCGCUGGCCUGCACCUCUCUCUCACUGGGAGUGAAGCACGGGGCACUGUAGAUCGUUGGACCCUGGAGCCUGUUUUACAGAGGAGCAGACUGACACCGGAGGGAUCACAGGACUUCCAUGUGGUUCUACAGGACUUGUGUGUGGUUCCACAGGGCAAGAUCGUAGCUGGGGUGAACUACUUCUUGGACGUGGAGCUGGGCCGAACCACGUGUACCAAGACCCAGCCCAACUUGGACAACUGCCCCUUCCAUGACCAGCCACAUCUGAAAAGGAAAGCAUUCUGCUCUUUCCAGAUCUACGCUGUGCCUUGGCAGGGCACAAUGACCUUGUCGAAAUCCACCUGUCAGGAUGCCUAGGGGUCUGUACCGGGCUGGCCUGUGCCUAUCACCUCUUACGCACACCUCCCACCGCCUGUAUUCCCACCCCUGGACUGGUGGCCCCAGCCUUGGGGAAGGUCUCCCCAUGUGCCUGCACCAGGAGACAGACAGAGAAGGCAGCAGGCGGCCUUUGUUGCUCAGCAAGGGGCUCUGCCCUCCCUCCUUCCUUCUUGCUUCUCAUAGCCCCGGUGUGCGGUGCAUACACCCCCACCUCCUGCAAUAAAACAGUAGCAUCGGCUCCCUCUGAGUUCUUGGCUGUCUGGGGAUGUGCACACAGGCAGGGUUUCCGCAGUUCCUUU
rnacentral:lncRNA from 1 species